UGCGACCGGAGGCCCUUGCUCCCCUGAACGGGGCGCACGGCGGCUCCUCUCGGGAGGGAGCCAGUAUCUACCUCAGGGCACCGUUUCGGGAGUGAAUGCGGCACGAAACUCCCAGGCCAGAAUCUGCCUGGUAACAGUUCCAGAGCCUCACCCCCUAUCCUGUCUGACGAGGAACUGAGGCCAGAAGGGGCUUUCUUGACCAGUGACGCUCCAGCGGAGGUGAGGGAAUCAGGUGGGAAGUACUGCCAUCGGGACUCCAGCUCUCUCCCCGCAGCCCGGCUUCCCUCUCCUCCUCCUCCCAAACCGUGAAUAUUGGCAAAAUGAUUUUUUUAAUACAGAAGUGGAUCUUCCGUUGGAAGGUUUUGCUUGUUUUCCCUCAUAAAAUCAAAAGAAUAAAAAUGCCUUUCUCAUUUCCACCUCCCUUUUCACCUGGGCCUUCAUACAUCUAGAAACCAAACGCAAUGAUUUCCACAGCAAAAUAAUUACAAAAAUAAACAUGUGUUAUCUCAAACUA